rnacentral:rRNA from 1 species
UAGGGAAUCUUCGGCAAUGGGGGGAACCCUGACCGAGCAACGCCGCGUGAGUGAAGAAGGUUUUCGGAUCGUAAAGCUCUGUUGUUAAGGAAGAACGAGUGUGAGAAUGGAAAGUUCAUGCUGUGACGGUACUUAACCAGAAAGGGACGGCUAACUACGUGCCAGCAGCCGCGGUAAUACGUAGGUCCCGAGCGUUGUCCGGAUUUAUUGGGCGUAAAGCGAGCGAAGGCGGUUAGAAAAGUCUGAAGUGAAAGGCAGUGGCUCAACCAUUGUAGGCUUUGGAAACUGUUUAACUUGAGUGCAGAAGGGGAGAGUGGAAUUCCAUGUGUAGCGGUGAAAUGCGUAGAUAUAUGGAGGAACACCGGUGGCGAAAGCGGCUCUCUGGUCUGUAACUGACGCUGAGGCUCGAAGGCGUUGGGAGCGAACAGG